GGACAGUGUAGGAAAGUGUUCCACGUGAAAACGUCUAGAAGUCCCAGGCGAAGGUUAGCUCUCAGGCAACCUAAUGCUGGCCAAGACACUGAGCCUCCCUGGCCUCAGUUUCUGCAUCUGUAAAGCAGGGAUGCUGAGAGAAUUAGAGACAACAUAUAAAGUCUACUGCGGUGCUUAGCACACAUCAGGCCCUCAAGCACUGGUCAUUUCUUGCUGCGUUUUGUCACCAGAAUGGUGCUCACCCUCCUUCCUGGAUCUCACCACCCACACCCAGGGAAGCCACCUGCUUGUCAUUCUCUUGAAACCAGUCCCAGACCUGGUUUCUCUCUCUAUUCUGCCUGACAAGCCCCCAGAAUCACUUCUGGGUUGUUGGUUUUUUUUUUUUUUUUCUUUCUCCUUUUCCCCUGGGGGCCUUUUAAUUUCUUCCUCUGUAUCAUAAACACAAAACAAGUGUUUAAACGUCUGCCUCAAAGGCAAUCUGGGAAGCAGAGCGACUCUUACAUAAAGACCAGAUGAAGCCCACGCUCGCCAGAAGGGCCAUCUGGAUGCUGGCUCUGCCACCCUUCCUUCUCGCCCUCCGCUUGGGAACCGCUGUGAGCACGUAAUUAAGGACUGUGAUGAGGAGCUGGAGAGAGCAGCCUGGUGGGGAGCCUCGUGCAGGUUAACUGCCCAGUUGCCCUGGCCUUGGGUGGCCACUGCUGCAAGCCAGGCUCCCCCUCCCUUCCCUUCCACCUCCCAGCGCCACGGUCCUCCCCCACUGGGGUCCUGGCAGCAGAGGAGGAGCCCUGCUGGCAAAGAAGCUGCAGGAGAGUGGGGCCACCGCACAGAGACGGUGACUCCCCCAGACACUGGGGACACACAGCCUGGGUGUGGAUCUCAGCACCACUACUUCCCGCCUUUAACUAUUUUGUUACUUUUGGCCGAAGAAUAUUCAGAGACAUGUGAUAGCCAGAGUCAGUUACAAACUUGAACUGAAUUUCUCUGCAUAAAAAUGUAUGGCCUGCAAAGGUCAUCUUACAAAUGGGAUGACAGGCGCAGCGCAGCGACCGCCACGUCAGCGUGAUGGCUGUGCCAAGGUGUCACGUGAGCCCAAGAACCCAGAAAACCAAAUCAUAAGAGCUGGUGCUUCAUUCAAGGACCGCUUUACAACGGAUGCUUCUCUAAGUACUUUAAGAGUCAAUUACUGGGGCACCUGGGUGGCUCAGUGGGUGAGCAUCUGCCUUCGGCUCAGGGCAUGAUCCUGGGGUCCUGGGAUCGAGUCCUGCAUUGGGCUCCCCGCAGGGAGCCUGCUUCUCCCUCUGCCUGUGUCUCUGCCUCUCUGUGUGUCUCUCAGGAAUAAAUAAAUAAAAUCUUGAAAGAAAAAAAAAAAG
rnacentral:lncRNA from 12 species